ACUAAGCGAUAUGAACGAACGGAGGCGGUCACGUGACGCGGGUCAGCCAGUGAGUGCGCGCCGUCGUAGACUUUGCCUUUCUCUCGGCGGUGAUAGAUUACCGUUUUAGAGGCAUUUAAAUUCCUAACGCUCUUCGAUCAAGGUGACGCGCAUCAGCAUUAAUGUAUUGGCUGUGCAAACAAUAGGUACUGCAGACGGCGACGCGCUGCAGUCGUGUAGCGCGUAGUCAUUGUAUCAGAGCAGUAAACAGUGCCUCUUCUAGGCGGAUGUUCAUGUGCUGCACGCAUUCAUACCCACUCUGCACCAGGGCGACCAUGUACUAUAUCCACAAAACACCCCAGGUUGGAAACGAAGAUUAUUUUUCCAUUUCUCGCUGAAGGAAGCUGAAGUUUCACUUACCGUUGAAGUUUGUAACUUUCGUGAUCAAGAGAAUGACUGCGACUACAAACUUUACUUUGAAUUACAACUGUGUAAGCAAUCAUAUAUGUUGAUAUAUUGUUUUCAUUUUGCACACUAUAGUCACAUAUGUCCUUGCUUCCGUUUUUGAGAAUUGUGUAUUGUACAAUAAACAUUUUCUAGUUAAUUUUAUUUGUUUUAUAAUUUGUAGUGUGUUGCGUUUUAGAAAGUUCGAAAAUACAUUUCAUAUUUCAUCAAAAAAAUAAUUAAAUGACGCAUUUUUUAAGCUACUUGUAGCAAGUCAAGUUUAUUCUAACAAAAAUAUUUAUUGACAUUGUACCCGAAAGCGAUACAAAAAUAAAAGGACAAAGAUUCA